rnacentral:rRNA from 1 species
GACGAACGCUGGCGGCGUGCUUAACACAUGCAAGUCGAACGGAAAGGCCCUGCUUUUGUGGGGUGCUCGAGUGGCGAACGGGUGAGUAACACGUGAGUAACCUGCCCUUGACUUUGGGAUAACUUCAGGAAACUGGGGCUAAUACCGGAUAGGAGCUCCUGCUGCAUGGUGGGGGUUGGAAAGUUUCGGCGGUAGCGGAUGGACUCGCGGCUUAUCAGCUUGUUGGUGGGGUAGUGGCUUACCAAGGCUUUGACGGGUAGCCGGCCUGAGAGGGUGACCGGCCACAUUGGGACUGAGAUACGGACCAGACUCCUACGGGAGGCAGCAGUGGGGAAUAUUGCACAAUGGGCGGAAGCCUGAUGCAGAAACGCCGCGUGCGGGAUGACGGCCUUCGGGUUGUAAACCGCUUUCGCCUGUGACGAAGCGUGAGUGACGGUAAUGUGUAAAGAAGCACCGGCUAACUACGUG